AGAGAGAGAGAUGACUGAAGUGGAGAUUUGCAGGGCAACAAAUGGUGGAGAGAAGUGUGGAGUGAGGAUGAUGAAUGAAGAAUCCAAAGUUCUGAAUUCAGAGAGUGAGAGAUGAAGAUGGAGGAAUGAGAAUGGUGGAGCAGAGAAGUGAAGGCAAACGGUGGAGCUGGGAUCGAGAGGCUUUGAAGUGAAGCAGAGUCCUGAUUUUAUAGAACCAAUUCUCAGGACUUUGAUGAAUGUAGAGAACUACCACAAAGGCUUCAGUUUGAAGAUGAAACAGUAGCAGCAACACCCUCCAGAAUAUAUGUUAAUUACAAAAGAUUAUGAGUGGAACCGAAGAGAAUUUUUGUGUGUUAUAUGAUGUUUAAUCUUGGAAUAUGGAGCUGAUGUAGAUUAGAUUAUUUGCAGCGAGUUCUUAUGUUAAAAUGAAGGAAAAAACGUCCUCUUGGAGUUUCUUAGGAGAUCAAAGUAGUUUUUGUAAAGCUCUUUUUUUUUGUAUUGUGUUUAUGUACAAGUGGUGUUGUGAUUGAACUUGUAACCUUUUUUUUUUCUCUUUUCUAGAUGUAACAAAGUCUGAUUGAGAUUGUGAUGUCUUUGUAUGCUAUGAUUUGUAAAGAGUGAUAGUAUUCUUCCUUGAAUCACAAAUUCCAUCCGUAUGAAUCUUGAAUGAAGACCUUUGAAUCAAACUUGUAUUCCAUAUUAAUUUACUCCAAGUUUAACA